rnacentral:tRNA from 1 species
CGAGAAGGUGGGCGAAGCGGUUCAUGCCGAGGCCUCGGCGGUCUCGGCGCCUUGCGCCGGAUCGAACUCGGCCUCGCCGUC